AUCUUAUGAGUUUCACCUCUAGCCUACCCCAACUUGUUUGGGACUAAAGGCUUUGUUUUUGUUGUUUAAAUAAUAUUGAGUUAAAUAAUAGUUGUUGUUAUAUCGCAGAUACGAACAUAAAAUCGAUUUUUUGAAUAUCAUAAAAUGUUUAAAGUCGAACAAAGGAAGAUUAUUAUCACACAUACAAACAUCGUUCAAACAUCAUUGUCUCACAUACAAGUAACACAAAGUGCUAUUAAGGCGAACAAAAUAAAUAUGUUGAAGUUAUUACAAGGUUCUCCCAAGAAAAACAUACACCACAAAGCUAUUCCUCAAGGGAAGACACUCACAGCAAUAGCAUCACGUGUUGUACCCAUAUUAUCCUCAUCAUAGGGUGCAAAGUGAUGAGAAACGCUCUCCUCGUGAACAUAGGACCCAUUCUCAACCUUGUGGAAAUGCUCAUCACGCAGUUUGCUCUCACGGAUGUAGUUAUGAAGAUAUGUGCAUGCAGUAAUUAUCAUUGUUUGCGUACCAACUUUGUAACGUCUGAUGCCAAGAAGGAUUCUCCAUUUCAUCUUGAGAACACCAAAUGAUCUUUCAAUGACGUUUCGUAGUGAGGAAUGUCGAUGAUUGAAGGUCUCAUUUCUCCCUCGUGGAGGUACUUGCUGGAAAUCAGGAACAUGGUAUCGUUGUCCUUUGUAUGGUGCUAGAUACCCAUCUCGGUUAGGAACUUAGGAUAUCCGGAGUCAACAAGAUAGUAUUUUCCUGUGGUGAUGAAAAAAAUACAAUGAAGACCAGUAAGUUAAAGAAGAGAAAUGGUACUGUAAUAGAAUGCCUGCACUAGUCAUUACCGUUGGGAGGGUGUGGGAAACUGGAAUAUUCAGCUCGUGCAUCAGCCCAUACACACGUGUCAUGAACAGAUCCAGGCCAUCCAACAAAAAAAAAAUGAACCUCAUGUCGAAAUCACAAAUUGCCAUGACAUUCUGACUGAUGAAAUAUUUUCCGUGGCGGUAUUUAGGUUGCUCUGCUUCCGGCACAACGCAAGGAAUGUGUGUUCCAUCUAUGGCCCCAAUAGCAUUCUGGAAGUGAGGCCAAAAUCUUGUUUUUUUCUAGCGAGUCAUGAACUUGGCUGAAAGUUUCAUCUUUGGGUCGAAGUCAGGGUGGCAAACCAAGAACUGCUCGCAUUUGCCCCUCCCAAGAAGACCCUGAAGCAGCUCGAGAAAAUACAACGUGGAUUUCUUUGAGCCGGCCGCGCCACCGCGAACGGAGGGCACUGCCAUGUCAAUUGGCGCCACACUUGCCGCCCUGUAGAAUAUGGCUGCCUUGGGAUUCAUGAUCUGGAGCGCUUCGGCUGCGAUGGAUGUGGUUUGCCCGCACGGAUGCUGGUCGAACAUGGCAGGGACUGGACCUCCAGUUCUCUAAAGAGGAGAGUGAGAUGUUCUUUGCAUCCACCACUAUGGUGCUUGGAGACGGACUGACAGCCCUUUCUGGGAGGACUGCUGGAUAACGGGUAAUCCCCCGGGAACUCGCCCCCUUGUUAUACCAGUGCAUCCCCGAGCGGCGACGCAGGACGAGAACAGUGGCAGAGGGCCUCCACAGGAACACUGUUCCUGGGCCCGUGACAUCCAAGGGACCCUUGGAUACACGAGAUCGGUCAGUACCUGAUGCUCUGGCAGGCCAUCCAACAUUUCGCCCUCUCGGCUGAACCUGACCGGCUGCUCUGGAGAUGGACGGCCAGCGGCAUAUAUACGGUGCAGUCUUGCUACACCGCCACAUUCCUAGGAUCCACUCGCUGUCCCUCCUGGAAGCUCAUCUGGAAGGGUUGGGCGCCGCCCCGCGUCAAAUUCUUCCACUGGUUCGCCAACCAAGACAGAUGCUGGACGGCAGAGUGACUUGCCCAACGCGGCCUGCAGCACCACCCCAAAUGCCUCCUCUGCGACCAAGACCCAGAGACCAUCCAGCACCUGCUCCUGGCGUGCCCAUUCGCAAACUUGGCGCAUCAUCCUGGACUGGGCACACAUACCUGCGCCACCAGGUACCGAACCUACCAUGCUGGACUGGUGGCAGCGAGCGAAGGCACAGACCCCGUCCACACUCCACAAGACUCUACAAUCCAUCACAAUGCUUGUCGCUUGGAUGAUUUGGAAACAAAGGAACAAAUGGAAUGUGUCUUCGACAAUGCGAGACCCUCUUACAUUAGCUGAUAGGAUCAAAGUAGAGGCCAAAUGCUGGGCACAAGCUGGGGAACAGGGGCUGAGGGUUGUGCUGCCCGGCUCCUGGGAUGUCCAUUGAUGGGGCAUUGGCCUUGUAACCAUUACCUCCUAGGAGGUUUGUACUCUCCCACCUUUUCAGUGAAAUGAAACGCAAAGAGCUCUUUGCAUUUUCUCGAAAAACAAGGAUACCAAGGUGGAAAUAGCACCGUCGUUGGAAGUCCAAAUAUAUGUUUCCCAUUGGGCACCCGAAAACCAUAAUAAAAUGCAGUUUUACCUGUUU